rnacentral:rRNA from 1 species
GCUGGCGGCGUGCCUAAUACAUGCAAGUCGAGCGAAGAGAUGGGAGCUUGCUCCCUGAUCUUAGCGGCGGACGGGUGAGUAACACGUGGGCAACCUGCCCUGCAGACUGGGAUAACUCCGGGAAACCGGAGCUAAUACCGGGUAAUACAUCGCACCGCAUGGUGCAAUGUUGAAAGUUGGCUUUCUGAGCUAACACUGCAGGAUGGGCCCGCGGCGCAUUAGCUAGUUGGUAAGGUAAUGGCUUACCAAGGCGACGAUGCGUAGCCGACCUGAGAGGGUGAUCGGCCACACUGGGACUGAGACACGGCCCAGACUCCUACGGGAGGCAGCAGUAGGGAAUCUUCCGCAAUGGACGAAAGUCUGACGGAGCAACGCCGCGUGAGUGACGAAGGCCUUCGGGUCGUAAAGCUCUGUUGUUAGGGAAGAACAAGUACCGUUCGAAUAGGGCGGUACCUUGACGGUACCUAACCAGAAAGCCACGGCUAACUACGUGCCAGCAGCCGCGGUAAUAC